rnacentral:rRNA from 1 species
UACGUGGGGUGCGAGCGUUAAUCGGAAUUACUGGGCGUAAAGCGUGCGCAGGCGGUUUUGUAAGUCUGUCGUGAAAUCCCCGGGCUUAACCUGGGAAUUGCGAUGGAGACUGCAAGGCUAGAAUCUGGCAGAGGGGGGUAGAAUUCCACGUGUAGCAGUGAAAUGCGUAGAGAUGUGGAGGAACACCGAUGGCGAAGGCAGCCCCCUGGGUCAAGAUUGACGCUCAUGCACGAAAGCGUGGGGAGCAAACAGG